rnacentral:rRNA from 1 species
CAGUCGCCGCGGGAAUACAGAGGGUGCGAGCGUUAAUCGGAUUUACUGGGCGUAAAGCGUGCGUAGGCGGCUUCUUAAGUCGGAUGUGAAAUCCCUGAGCUUAACUUAGGAAUUGCAGUCGAUACUGGGAAGCUAGAGUAUGGGAGAGGAUGGUAGAAUUCCAGGUGUAGCGGUGAAAUGCGUAGAGAUCUGGAGGAAUACCGAUGGCGAAGGCAGCCAUCUGGCCUAAUACUGACGCUGAGGUACGAAAGCAUGGGGAGCAAACAGGAUUAGAUACCCCGGUAGUCCCUGUCUCUUAUAC